UAGAAGUGAGGAGCUAAAAGCGGCUUAAUUUCGACUUAAGUAAUGAUAAAAGUA
rnacentral:tRNA from 1 species